AGAACGAACGCUGGCGGCAGGCCUAACACAUGCAAGUCGAACGCUCGUAGCAAUACGGGAGUGGCAGACGGGUGAGUAACGCGUGGGAACCUUCCCAGUGGUACGGAAUAGCUCAGGGAAACUUGAGGUAAAUACCGUAUACGCCCCUAGGGGGAAAGAUUUAUCGCCAUUGGAUGGGCCCGCGUCGGAUUAGCUAGUUGGUGAGGUAACGGCUCACCAAGGCGACGAUCCGUAGCUGGUUUGAGAGAAUGACCAGCCACACUGGGACUGAGACACGGCCCAGACUCCUACGGGAGGCAGCAGUGGGGAAUCUUGGACAAUGGGCGCAAGCCUGAUCCAGCCAUGCCGCGUGAGUGACGAAGGCCUUAGGGUUGUAAAGUCCUUUCGACGGGAAGAUAAUGACGGUACCGUAGAAGAACGCCCGGACUAACGUUCGCGCCAGCAGCCGC
rnacentral:rRNA from 1 species